rnacentral:rRNA from 1 species
UACGGGGGGUGCGAGCGUUGUCCGGAAUCACUGGGCGUAAAGGGCGCGUAGGUGGCGUCGUAAGUCUGUGGUGAAAGCCCGGAGCUCAACUCCGGGUCUGCCGCGGAUACUGCGAGGCUUGAGUGCUGUAGAGGGGGGUAGAAUGCCGGGUGUAGCGGUGGAAUGCGUAGAGAUGCGGAGGAACACCGAUGGCGAAGGCAGCCCCCUGGGCUGACACUGACGCUCAGGCACGAAAGCGUGGGGAGCAAACAGG